AUACUUUCCAACAAAAAGCAGACACAACAAAGUCAUUAGAAGAUGCAAGAAGCUGGAUGCCAAGCCCAGCCCCUGUGGGUGAAGUGGGAAUGUGUGAGCAUGACUGGCUUUCGUCUCAACUAAAGACACAGGCACACAGCAAGAAGACAUACGUUUUUUAAAACUAAAAUCAGAAAGUGUGUUUCCUAAUGCACACCAGGGAGGAGGUAGCCUCCACAGAGGUCAGGAUGUUUGGAGAGAACAAUAGAGGGAAGAGACGAGGGUGGGCCACCCAACCUCCCCCUCACCAGGGCCUCACUUCCUCCAGGGUUGUCAUCCCUGACACCCAAGCUUCACAAAGGGACGUCAGGAUUCAGCCUGUGAGGUCAAGAAGCGUAGCUACUUCCACAUCCUAUUCACUGGGAGUCAGAAAAUAUUGUGUAAAUUCUGUCUCAACCUGUCACUCCUCAUACAUGUGGAUUCUUCCUCCACAGUUGACUCAAAGAGCAAAGACACAUGAGCAAAGGCAGAUUAGCAGAAGAAGUAUUUAUGGACAUCGUGUGGGAAAGAUAAAGGUCCACUGAGUAAAAGGUGUUGGGGGAAAACGAGAACGUGUACCUAGCAGGGGACCUGGGGCAGACACUUGAAGCACAAAGCUCCCACCAUGCACAGGAGUUGCAGGUCUCAUCAACACCAGUUGGCCUGGAGUGGUGCUGGCCAACACUGGGCAUCCUGGUGGCAACUUCAAGCAAGAUAUCUUGGCUAUGUGAAGGGGACAUCACCCAGGUUGUUGGCUGGGUGUUGAUAGGCCAAUCAGCAAAACUGAUGGCAUUAGUUUGGCACUGGGUGGCUGGGCUAUAGGAAAGGCCAAGCCUAUAAUGUUGUUCUUGCAUUGCUUCCUUCCACACAUGAGAGAUUGACAAGACUUUUGCUGUCCAUCAGGGACCUGAGAAGUGGCUCCUGGAUUAAAAUGAUGGUUGGAUGUUACAGUUGGUCCUCUAACUGGAUUGUCCAGGCAUGCCCAUGCCCUUGGAGACUUGCGCUGAGGCAAUGCUGCUACUCAGUGGUGUGUUCCCAAGAGUCCCCAUGUAAAAAGGGAUGUUGUUCUUCCUGGAGACAGUAGGAGACCGGAUGGUGACAGCCUUGGAAGGAGGGGUGGAAUCCAUAGCAUCGGUGUCAAAGGCAGGCAGGGCCUCUGCAUGGUACUGCAGAGGCCCUGCCCACUAGAGUGGAGGCAAUGGGAGGAGCUAUGUUGGGAAGGCUCAUAAAUAAGGUGUCCUGGAGAAGGGGGUUCUCUGCUGCUGCCCAUCAGGGGUCCCACAUGUGGGCGGUUUCUAGGCCCAUGUGAUGGUUCAAAUUAGAGGUGAGGCAACAGACCAUAAGUGUAGAUGGGCUGAUGGGGGACUCUGGCCUCAUAAGGGCACCUCUGUUCCACAGUACAGGGAUUUGGGAAAAGGGAGGAGAGCUCACACUACAGGUUGGGAUAUAGCUGAAAAUAAGAGCCAUAGAAGGGGGAGUCAUGUCCAUUUCAAUGACCUGAGGGUCUAAAGUGGUCCAGGUCAAGCGGGCCAAUGUGUUGGCUGUGAUGGUAGACAUGGCUGCUGUAGAAUGGGCAAACCUGCCCGUGAUAAUGGCGGGGGUCCUGGCAGAAGGAACUGGAGGAUGGGUGGAGAAAGAAAGUGUGGGAAGGGUUGGGAAUGAAGUUGGAGGGCUAGGAAGGAAGAAGAAGGAGGGUUCUUGAAGGAAAGGGGAUGUGGGGAAUCUACACACAUGGGUGUUGGUGACACAGUUCUGAUCAAGGGCAGCAUCAAUGAGAAUGGUAGGGUGCUGGGAGGAUUGGGCAGGUCAGAAACAGGAGGCACUGCUGCUGGGACUGAGUGAGCAGGGGCUCCAUUCUCCUUAGGUGGAACCCUCGCAGUUGACCUGGCCCUAAAUGGAGAAAGAAGGUUGGCAGGAACAGCCAGAGGAGAGCUAGGGCUUGUGAAUGUCCUUUCAUCAAUUUUUGGUGUGGAGGAAGGUGGAAGGACAGGCAGGAUCAGAAGUCCAGCAGCCAAGUCAGCCAAGUCAGGAGUGGUAAGAGGAACUGGGACCUGAAAAGUGUAGGAUGUGACCAGGGACUGGGAGUCUGUCAUCUCAGCAGCAGAUGGGGAGAGAGAAGGGACAGGCCGGGUGGCCCUGCAGCUUUCUAGGGCCUCUGUCUUAUCCCUCAGAGCCUCUGUUUUCUCCUGCAAGAUCUUGGUCUUUGUUUGACAUUCAACACACUCGUCCAAGGUGCCUCAAUCUUCCUCUGCAGCUAUCCAUGGAAGCUUGGGAAGUGUGGGCAGCUCACCUCUGUCCCACAACAGUGGCAGUGGCACUGGCAGCAGCAGCAGUGGCAACAGCAGUGGCAUGGACAUUACCCUUUGCAGGGCCCAUUCCUCACAGCUCUGGGUGGAGAAGAGCUCCUGGAUGUGAUAUAUACAGGCUAUUCGCCCUGCAUCUCCUUCCUAGACACCAGCAACUGGAGCAUGCCUGGAGAGCUGGACCAGUGGUUUAAAUGCAGAAGUUCCCCGGCCAACUUCUCCAGUAGCCAGCAGCAGCCUUGGGCUGGGUCAGGGAGCAUUGCUGCAUCUGGGUCAAGCAUCCCUCGAUGUAGGAUUCCUCCAGCAGGGCUGUAUGAGCUGGUGAUUGCAUGGCCUUCAUGGAAGGAGGUCAUCGGAGACACCUGUGGUCACAGGUACCAUAACUGCUGUAACUUAUAUGAUGGAAUCCUCACAGAACUAUCACGACACCACCCUCCAUGUGAACAUGUGUAGCAUGAGGUUGUUUCCAAGAAUAAAUAAGUGUUUUUACAGA